UAAAGGAUGAAGAUGCUCUAGACGGAAAGAAUAAGCAGGACUCACAGACAAUGUCAGCUAUAAUCAGUAAGAAGGUAAACAAGAUUACAUCUAACAUCAGCCACAGCACCAAUAUUGUAUGUUUUGGCAAUCUUUAAACGACGUGUAAGAGUAGCCACAUAUUUAGGAAAAGCGUUUCCUGUUUACAGGUCUUUCAUGGCCCAGCUGAAGAUCCUCUAUCCCAUGAAGCUUUACCUAACUAACCUUACCCUCAACUGACUUGGAUGAUGCUAUGAUGACUAACCUUAUCACUGCUCUGAUUUUUCCCCGAAUGUAUAUAUAUAUAUAUAUUCAAAGGGAACCACACACCAUCUAAUUUAGAAAUUAUUUUAGAAUCUACCUAGCUAGCUAUUGG
rnacentral:lncRNA from 1 species